UACAGAGGGUGCAAGCGUUGCUCGGAAUCAUUGGGCGUAAAGGGUUGGUAGGUGGUCUCAUUUGUCGGGGGUGAAAGCCUUGGGCUUAACCCAAGAAGUGCCUCCGAAACGGUGAGACUAGAGUUCUGGAGAGGCUAGGGGAAUUCCCGGUGUAGCGGUGAAAUGCGUAGAGAUCGGGAGGAACACCAGAGGCGAAGGCGCCUAGCUGGACAGAUACUGACACUCAACAACGAAAGCGUGGGGAGCAAACAGG
rnacentral:rRNA from 1 species